AUUAUUUCAGGUAUUUUAUUGACAAUGUUGGUAACCUUUUUGGUGUCUGGUCUCACAGAAUAAUGUGAAAUACUCUCAGUUACUAACCCAUAUGAAAUACUUUCCUGAUAAAGGAUAUCCAAUGUGUCUUUGCUAAAAAAAAAUCAUUCUUUAGAUUCCAAUAGCUAAACAUGUCAAAAGCCCAAUUCUUAAAACUUUUUUCCUCAAGUCCAAAUUUUUUGUACUCUUCAUGUCCAUGUGACCUGACCACUGGAAACACUAACAGCGGUACUCCUACAGAUAAAUCAUGACCAACAGUAAAAGAUAACUUGACACAACAGUGUAGCUCAUUAAAACAUUCUAAAAACACCUAGCCAGUCAAUGGUAGUUCUAUGCAUAACCACAAUCCUUAAACAGCAACUGCUAGCACUAUGGACAGCAAGUGCAAGCGACAUGUUACAGGAUAAGAAUUUUAGCUGGAUGUUUUAAUUACUCAUUGAAACAGUUGCACAGUUUCAAACUUGAGUUAGCAUUAUGUCAUAUAUUUCAGUGUAAAUAAUAACCAGAUUGUGCAAUUAAGUACAAUGCAAAACUUAACUAGAAGUCUCACUGGCAGCCUUACAUACAGCUUAAGUAGCUGUCAUUCUACUUAAAUGAUUCUCUUCCUUUUUUAACACUUAAGAAUGUUUGUAGGAUGCAAAGUUUAAAUUAAGUUGAUGACUGAAAAGUUCUCUAUUAUUAGAAGAAAAUCUCUUUUAUAAGAAAAUAUCAAUCUGGCUUACUGUAUAUUAAAAUGCAUUUAUUGUUUUAAAAUAAUCAUCUUAUUUUUAGGUUGAAGUGUUUAAUGGCCAUUUUUACAGUGAUGCUGAAACAAUUCCCAACAGUUCCAAAGAAUUUCGUACUAAAUAUAACGAUAAAGCUGUAGCUGGAUUCCUGAUAUUCUUCCUCGUUCUUUUGCCUCUGGCCCUCCUGUUUGUUAUGUAUAAGAUUUAUGCUCUUCAUAAGAAGAACUCAUAUGAAACAUGCAAUGAGGAGCUCGAUGUCCUGG